rnacentral:rRNA from 2 species
AACGCUGGCGGCGUGCCUAAUACAUGCAAGUCGAACGAAACUUUCUUACCACCGAAUGCUUGCAUUCACCGUAAGAAGUCGAGUGGCGGACGGGUGAGUAACACGUGGGUAACCUGCCUAAAAGAAGGGGAUAACACUUGGAAACAGGUGCUAAUACCGUAUAUCUCUAAGGAUCGCAUGAUCCUUAGAUGAAAGAUGGUUCUGCUAUCGCUUUUAGAUGGACCCGCGGCGUAUUAACUAGUUGGUGGGGUAACGGCCUACCAAGGUGAUGAUACGUAGCCGAACUGAGAGGUUGAUCGGCCACAUUGGGACUGAGACACGGCCCAAACUCCUACGGGAGGCAGCAGUAGGGAAUCUUCCACAAUGGACGCAAGUCUGAUGGAGCAACGCCGCGUGAGUGAAGAAGGUCUUCGGAUCGUAAAACUCUGUUGUUAGAGAAGAACACGAGUGAGAGCAACUGUUCAUUCCGAUAGGGAGGAUCUAACCACGCAAGUC